UACGGAGGGGGCUAGCGUUGUUCGGAAUUACUGGGCGUAAAGCGCGCGUAGGCGGACCUGCAAGUCGGGGGUGAAAGCCCGAGGCUCAACCUCGGAACUGCCUUCGAUACUGUCGGGCUCGAGUACGGAAGAGGCGAGUGGAAUUCCUGGUGUAGCGGUGAAAUGCGCAGAUAUCAGGAGGAACACCGGUGGCGAAGGCGGUUCUCUGGGCAUUACCUGACGCUGAGGAGCGAAAGUGUGGGGAGCGAACAGG
rnacentral:rRNA from 1 species